AAAAAUAGUUUAUGCGUAUUAUUGUUAUCAUUAUUAUCUCAUAUCAUAUAUAACACCCACACAUAAGCCGCCCCCGCAGACCAACAAUCCUUUUAGCAAACAGUUGUCAAUAAAAAACAACAACCAAAAAACACACUGGUAUCUCAACAACAACAAAAAAACACAUAACUAACUAAUUAUGAAGUGUCCAAUAGGCCAAUACUAUUUCAUAGUCAUCUUGAAUAUGGCCAUAAUGUCCAGUAUCUACUUGUUGUCGGCACUGGUAUCCUAUUCGCCCAUUUAUGAAACUGACGAAACAAUAGUAACAUU